AUUGAACGCUGGCGGCAGGCCUAACACAUGCAAGUCGAACGAGUGGCGGACGGGUGAGUAAUGUCUGGGAACCUGCCUGAUGGAGGGGGAUAACUACUGGAAACGGUAGCUAAUACCGCAUACCAUGGGAUGUGCCCAGAUGGGAUUAGCUAGUAGGUGGGGUAAUGGCUCACCUAGGCGACGAUCCCUAGCUGGUCUGAGAGGAUGACCAGCCACACUGGAACUGAGACACGGUCCAGACUCCUACGGGAGGCAGCAGUGGGGAAUAUUGCACAAGGGGCGAAAGCCUGAUGGAGCCAUGCCGCGUGUAUGAAGAAGGCGUUCGGGUUGUAAAGUACGUUCAGCGGGGAGGCGUUACCCGCAGAAGAAGCACCGGCUAACUCCGUGCCAGCAGCCGCGGUAAUUC
rnacentral:rRNA from 1 species